rnacentral:rRNA from 1 species
CUCAGGACGAACGCUGGCGGCGUGCCUAACACAUGUUAGUCGAACGGAGCUCCGCCCUUCGGGACGGAACUUAGUGGCGAACGGGUGAGUAACGCGUGAAGAACCUGCCUUUCAGUGGGGGACAACAGUCGGGAACGACUGCUAAUACCGCAUGAUGUUCUUUGGGGGCAUCUCUAUGGAACCAAAGCUUAAUGUGCUGAAAGAUGGCUUCGCGUCUGAUUAGCUAGUUGGCGGGGUAACGGCCCACCAAGGCGACGAUCAGUAGCCGGUCUGAGAGGAUGAACGGCCACAUUGGGACUGAGAUACGGCCCAGACUCCUACGGGAGGCAGCAGUGGGGAAUAUUGGGCAAUGGGGGAAACCCUGACCCAGCAACGCCGCGUGAAGGAAGAAGGCCUUCGGGUUGUAAACUUCUUUUACCAGGGACGAAGGACGUGACGGUACCUGGAGAAAAAGCAACGGCUAACUACGUGCCAGCAGCCGCGGUAAUACGUAGGUUGCAAGCGUUGUCCGGAUUUACUGGGUGUAAAGGGCGUGUAGGCGGAGGCGCAAGUUGGGAGUGAAAUCUAUGGGCUCAACCCAUAAACUGCUCUCAAAACUGUGCCCCUUGAGUAUCGGAGAGGCAAGCGGAAUUCCUAGUGUAGCGGUGAAAUGCGUAGAUAUUAGGAGGAACACCAGUGGCGAAGGCGGCUUGCUGGACGACAACUGACGCUGAGGCGCGAAAGCGUGGGGAGCAAACAGGAUUAGAUACCCUGGUAGUCCACGCUGUAAACGAUGAAUACUAGGUGUGGGAGGACUGACCCCUUCCGUGCCGCAGUUAACACAAUAAGUAUUCCACCUGGGGAGUACGACCGCAAGGUUGCAACUCAAAUGAAUUGACGGA